UUGAGAUAUGUAUCAUUUUGUGUGCUACACUAGAUUAGCCGUGUAGUAGUGACACACAUAUAUGAGUACCAUUGCACAGCGUCUCGUAAAACAGAUGAAUGCAAUUGUUCCGUUAGUAGUGUGGUAAAGAAAAUGAUGAGACGCGUGCAAAUUUGUAUCGACGAAUAUCUCGUAAAUCACAUGUCAAAUAAAUCUGAAACUAUUUUUAUAUCAAUUCUAGGUGUAAUCUAAGUGUUGCUAUACAUUUAUUUCGGCGAUUAAGAUCCACAAUUCCCAACAGAUAUA
rnacentral:misc_RNA from 1 species